rnacentral:tRNA from 1 species
CCGUCGAUAGCUCAGUUGCUAGAGCGGUGGACUGAAGAUUCAUAGGUCGCUGGUUCGAACCCGGCUCGACGAG